rnacentral:rRNA from 1 species
UACGGAGGGUGCUAGCGUUGUUCGGAAUUACUGGGCGUAAAGCGUACGUAGGCGGUUUGAUAAGUUGGAAGUGAAAGCCCAAGGCUUAACCUUGGAAUUGCUUUCAAAACUGUCAAACUAGAGAAUGGUAGGGGAAAGUGGAAUUCCUAGUGUAGAGGUGAAAUUCGUAGAUAUUAGGAGGAACACCAGAGGCGAAAGCGGCUUUCUGGACCAUUUCUGACGCUAAGGUACGAAAGCGUGGGGAGCGAACAGG